rnacentral:lncRNA from 1 species
CUUGGCGGUGAACUUGAGCCAGCAGCGGUUAACCCGGCCCGGGGUUCUGGGCCUCAGCCGGCGCCAGCAGCUCCCUCAGGUGGGGCGCAAGCCUCAGCGCGCCGCCCUUCUCCGCUCCUCUCCUCCAACCGGCCCUUACCUAGGGCGACGGCCCCGGGGACCCCCUUCCCAAGGGCGUCGGCCUGGAGCCUGGAGUCUGUAGGAGUGGCGGGAGAUGGGGACGCGAGUCCCUGGACGCCGACAGUCUGUCUCUAAGGCGUUGCUGCGUGGCUUUGGUACACAGAGCCUCGACCGCUUCUCCACCGCUGCAAGCACAGCGGGGAAGUGGAUGGAGAAGCAAAGACAGACAGACAGACAGACAGACAGACAAGCGGCGGCGGGGCUACCCUGAAACCCGAGCGUCUCCAAGCCCCCACCCCCAACCCCCGGGCACGGCGCUGCAGAUGCCAGAUCCCCGACCAGAGGCGGUGGAGAUGGGCAGGGCAAAGAACGCGCGCGCCGCUCGCAGCUCGUCCGCGCGUGGCCUUCCUCUUGCCCCCCUGCACCUUCAAUUUACCUUAUGCAGGGCGCCCCGCGAGCUGCGGGCUGAGGCGCCGAGCCGAAGCCCAGAGGACAGGAGUUUGAGAGCCGCCAUCUUCGGCCCCGGGUGCGGGAGACGGUGGCGCGCGCGGGAGUGCGUGCGAGUGCUGGUUGCCCGGGGCCGCGGCGGCGUCACCGGCUAAGAAGAGAGAAGGCAAGGCGAGCGGUAGGGCGGGCUGGAGGCUCGACCGCGCGUCAGUGACGUCCUCGGGACCUCAGAGCGGUGCCGCCCCUUGCUGCCUGCUGGCUUGUCAAGAAGCGAGACAGGGAGGGGCUCACGGCUAGGAAUGGAAAGGCUGCACAGCUAGGACGAGCCCCGCGGGUUGUGCCGGGGCCGGAGGUGCUGGGCUCCAGCUCAUCUGCGGGCACACCCGCAGCGGCGGGCGCUGCACUCAGGCUGGAGGGGGCGCUAGAGCCUGCCUUCCCCUCGCGCAAGGCUUGGCAUCAACCAGGGUUUCGGGUUGCCAAGGGCCUGGAGGGUCUCUUACUGAACGUGUUACUUUUCCAAAUCGCCCUCUGGAAUGAGUACAGGUACAAAGGGUCACUGAUAAAGAUCUCCUUCCAGAUCUAGACAGCUCACCUUUCCAACAUUUCUCAACCCCAACACCCACAACUCUCUUCAAGUCUGGUUUUGCCCUUAGUUUCCUCUGAAACCCAGCAGCGUGCUGACUGACCCUCAUGAGACAUGACCUGCUUAACCGACAGAGGGACAAGAUUAGAACUGGGCUGUUGUUCCCCAUCAUCCUACUCUGUGUUCCAGAAUUUUCCUGGAACCGGAGUCCCAACAAUUCCAGAAAUUACAGAACAGCAACCGUUAAAUACAGAAGUUGGUGCUAGAGUGGGCUGAAGCUGUGUAGCACUUGACUGUGUUGCUUUGAAGAGGAAGGUGGAAGACUGUGGAGAUCUGGCCUGGAGCAGCAUCUGGAUACUUUCGGCAGAACUUAAAAGGCAACCCUAAAGGAAGCCUGAAAGAUAACCACACUGAGAGCAAUGAGGACUGUGGAGACCCAGAGCAGAAGGUUUCAGAGAGGAACACUAUCAGCCAUUGGGCUCCAAGCUCUUGUGAUAUUUGGGCAAAGAAUCUAAUGGCCCUGGGCUUUGAUCCUAAGAACUUACCUAAGGGGAAAUUUUUAAAGUAACAGAAUAAUUUCUAUAGUGGAAUAAAAUUUCAAGACCAC